rnacentral:rRNA from 1 species
UACAGAGGGGGCAAGCGUUGUUCGGAAUUACUGGGCGUAAAGGGUGCGUAGGCGGUUGUUUAAGUUUGGUGUGAAAUCUCCCGGCUCAACUGGGAGGGUGCGCCGAAUACUGAAUGACUAGAGUGCGGGAGAGGAGAGUGGAAUUCCUGGUGUAGCGGUGAAAUGCGCAGAUAUCAGGAGGAACACCAAUGGCGAAGGCAGCACUCUGGGACGGUACUGACGCUGAGGCACGAAAGCGUGGGGAGCAAACAGG